GAGUGCAGAAGGGGAGAGUGGAAUUCCAUGUGUAGCGGUGAAAUGCGUAGAUAUAUGGAGGAACACCGGUGGCGAAAGCGGCUNUCUGGUCUGCAACUGACGCUGAGGCUCGAAAGCGUGGGGAGCGAACAGGAUUAGAUACCCUGGUAGUNCACGCCGUAAACGAUGAGUGCUAGGUGUUAGGCCCUUUCCGGGGCUUAGUGCCGCAGCUAACGCAUUAAGCACUCCGCCUGGGGAGUACGACCGCAAGGUUGAAACUCAAAGGAAUUGACGGGGGCCCGCACAAGCGGUGGAGCAUGUGGUUUAAUUCGAAGCAACGCGAAGAACCUUACCAGGUCUUGACAUCCCGAUGCCCGCUCUAGAGAUAGAGUUUUACUUCGGUACAUCGGUGACAGGUGGUGCAUGGUUGUCGUCAGCUCGUGUCGUGAGAUGUUGGGUUAAGUCCCGCAACGAGCGCAACCCUUAUUGUUAGUUGCCAUCAUUCAGUUGGGCACUCUAGCGAGACUGCCGGUAAUAAACCGGAGGAAGGUGGGGAUGACGUCAAAUCAUCAUGCCCCUUAUGACCUGGGCUACACACGUGCUACAAUGGCUGGUACAACGAGUCG
rnacentral:rRNA from 1 species